CACGACUUUCUACGUAGCAAGUAGUGCUAACGCAACUUGUCAUGUCAUAAAACCAAACUAAGAAGAAAAAGAUAUAAUUAUUUUGUUUAUCAAAGUAGAGGAGUUUGUUAUAUACGUUUAUUAAUGUCUUUAAUUUAGCUAACUCCACAGGGAGUUCGGGUGAGGAGAGAAUGAGAUUCCAUUGGAGGGAAGCAACCGUGUUUUUAAAUAAGCUUGCGAGAAAUUGCUAGCUAGCUAGCUAGCUCAACAGGUGGAGCAGAGGUGCUGCAGUGCGUUUCACCUGGAAACAACUAAAAUGUAUAGGAGCAGCGGCCAAGGGACCAGCUCCAGUUCUGAGGCCAGCACCUCCGUCUAUUGGAGAAGCCAAUUAACAUGAUUGACCAGCAGUACAGAGGAAGGUGAACCAUGAUGGCCCUCAGCAAAAAGACUGAAGAAAAAGAAAACAGCAGCUGAUGAUAGUGUAGCCUCAUCAAGCAAGAAUACUACUACUGGUCCUUUUUCACCUGUCAUCACGGGUGGGAGUGAGCAAUGGUAACCCCCCACUCCUCCCUUUUGCUAACCAGUAUCUGCCCUAUUAGCAAUUUAUAAUGGAGAUCAAGAAGUAGUCAGUGGAGAAUGAAGACAACUGUCUGCAUCCAUUCCUAAUUGGCUUUAUGUUCUCUUCCUGAUAAAUGGUUUGCAACUACUACAGAGUCCUGUGGAUUUUAUUGCCCUAAUAGGACUCAGUAACUGGAUUUACUAACAGAUAGCGGGUCAAAAAGGACAUAGAGAGCAAAAAUGUUAAUUAAUAUCAAUAAUGGCCAAUUAUUAGUUUGACAGAGGGAUCCAAGCUAGCUGUGUGCUCUAAUGACUCUGAGCUAACUUGAAGGGAAACACUGGCGAAUUAGCAUAACUGUGUAUGCACACUCCAUGGAGGUGCCCAGCAAACAUCUGUUAUGUUAGAAAUUCAAAUACAAUUCCUAUUAGUAACCCUAGCUGUGGUUGCAUAAUCAGUCAUUCUUCUCUGGCCAUUUUGGAGGCACUAACAAUGCCCCUGUGACUGGUGGAGCUCCUCCCUUUGGGCUUUCCAAUCAAAUUUGGCCCCAUGUGGACCAGGUCCUAACAACAGACGAGGCAAUGUGGACUUCUGAGGGGAGCUUUGUGCUCUGACAGGAGCUCAAUCUAUCCACCCAUGACACAUGACUGAAGAAAGGAAAACUGUUAUAUUAUAAUAUGAAUACAGCAGAUAUGAGUUAAGGAAUAAAUGUUGAAAUAUAGCUUUCUGACCUGCUGGGAUAAAGCUUCUUAUUUUCCUGCACCCUUUGUGUGUUUCUAUCCACAUGCAAAGUGUAUUUGGAAGCACUGAAUUGUUUGCAUGUUGUAUUUAUGACAUGAAUUCUACUUCAAUACUGAAUAAAAUAGUAUAAAAGAAGAUGGUAAACAGGGAUUUAUUAAUUCAUACUGCGGUCAUCUGAAGACAGCAGCUUCUGUGGGAUAUUGAAAAGAGAAAAUAUUCAGCAAAGUAAUUGAUCUUCUAUUUGGAGCAAAUAAUGUUUCUGUACCUUAUGGGAAUUACUGCAUUCUACUGUAUUGAUGCUAGCAGGCAUCUUGCGCUUUCUUUGUAAUCAAUGGCUGAAUAAAUGCCCUCAAAGACAAAAAUCAUCAACAUCCAUCCUUAAUAUCUGUAUA